UCCAAAAUCCCUCUUCUUAAUUUUUUAGGGUUCCUGACCACCACUCUCAAUUUCACAAACCCAAACCCAAACCCUAGCAGCUUCACAUUUCCUGACCACUUUCAACCCUCACAAUAUUGAAAAUGAAAAAUAAGAGGGAUUUAGGGUAAGAGUACCUGUGACUAUCGGGCUUCACGUUCCCUCUUCUUCUUCUUCUUCAACAUGACGGCGGCCACCUACCACUCCGAUCAAAUCUCGCCGCUGUGAUUCGUUCGCAUAUCGAUUCCUCCGUCUCAAUCGAUCCCUCUCUGUUCUCUCAAUCUCGAAGCCUCUGAUCUCAUCUCCGAUUCUGUUCUCGACAUCACUCGCUCCUCAUCUCCGCUUGCUCUCUCAUCAUGAACGGCUCACGACGGAGAAAUCGUUGGUGAGUUAGUUAGAUGGAGGUUUGAAAUCGUUGAAAUCGUUUAACCUAAAUCCUCUUUUUCAAUCAUUCAGUUCUAGCGAGUAGGUUUCUUUCUGAAUUCGCAGACGCUAAUGGCGAAGCCAAGUACAUCAACAUCCUGCAAGAAGUUGUGAACCACAAAGCUCGAUCUGUUGAAAUUGAUCUCGACGACUUAAUGAACUAUAAGGAUCUAGAUGAGGAUUUUUUGACGCGAGUUACUGAGAAUACGAGAAGAUAUGUAGGGAUUUUUGCUGAUGCGAUCGACGAGCACAUGCCGGAGCCUACUGAGACGUUUGUGGAUGAUGAUCAUGAUAUUUUGAUGACUCAGAGAUCUGAUGAAGGAACUGAAGGUGCCGAUGGUUCUGACCCGCACCAGAAGAUGCCUCCUGAAAUCAAACGCUUCUUGAAGUAACAGCUAGAAUAUUCAUGCCUUUGUUUGAGUGUCCAUCAAGGCGCUGUGUCACGAACAAGAGCGAGGGUAAUGUCAUCCUUCAACUGAGAGCGUUAAAGUUUUUGAGAUUUCAAGAGAUCUAUCUGGAGCAUGUGUGGUGAAUGUGUGGUGAAUGCUGAAUGGCGAAAGUAGCUACACCAAGUGCCAUGCCUCCGAGUUCUCAUGGAAUUUCAUCGGUACCUCUAAAAGGUGCUUCUAUUGCUAAAAGAAAGACGCCUUCAGAACUUAGGGGAUAGCUUCUUAGACGGGCAUGGAUGCAGUAGGCUUCCCGCGAUGCACCUACCAACAAAGUUCGGGCGAGGAUGUCAAUUGCAUCAGCAAUUAUCUUUGGGUCAGUUUUCUGGAGAAUGGGAAAAUCUCAGACUUCAAUUCAAGACAGAAUGGGAUUGCUUCAGGUUGGUAGCAUGGUUAUGGACAUGGCAUACUAUUGGUUUGUGAAUGCACUUGAAGCUAGGACUUGAUUACUUGAAGAAGCAGCAAAAAGACUCUUGUAAUGGCAACCGACGUUGAAUGGGAUCCAUCUAGAAGGCCCUAAAAUCUGAAGAAAGGAGAUAAAGGUAGUGUCAUUCAAGCCAAGUCUGCCAAAGUAUUUUCAGGCGACUACUCUGCUAUAGCAUCAUUCAGACCUUGUCGCUUUUGCAUCUGAGUCGACAACCAACAUAAGGACUAUAGCAUCAUUUUGUCACUGUUCUUGACAAUUUCAAUUUUCUUGAAAUUGAAUAUUGACUUCUGAUAUGCAUGUAAUGUAUAUAGAUUAUGAUAUGCAUGUAAUGUAUAUAGAUAAGACACUAAUGUGUUAUGGUUUAGGAAUGGUUUGAAUUGAAAGGGUGGUUGCAGGAAAUUUAUGAAAGAAUAUUGCAAAGCAUCUUAAUUUGA